rnacentral:lncRNA from 1 species
UUCAAAUUAGCGGUUUGAUUUAUUUUUUUUUCUCACCAAACAAAUGUCCUAAUCAAUGCACUGUGGAAUAUUCCACUGGGAGUUUAAUUUCAUCUGUACUUUCGGAGGGGAGAAAAACAUGGUUGCAGUGCAAGGUGGGAAAAUCAAUUAAAUCUUGAUUUUCAUGAGACAGCAACAGCUGUUUCUCAUUCGGAUCUAGCCCUCCGCACUAUAAGCAAUGGAAUACUUUGGUUCAGAGUUGUAUGGUUUUGAUGUAGGGGGAGAAUCAAGAGAAUAAAAGUGCGGUGGAAGCCGGCCACACUUCUUUCUGUCUUUCCCAGACUGAUGCUCAGGUGAAUGAGGCAAAUACGCAGCAGGAUGCGUAGUGCAUGUCACCUGUAUCUUCAUACACAACCAGAGAAACUUCUUAAAGGCAAGAGGGAAGAAGGAGAGAAGGAAAGGAAGAAGUCAGCCUGAGCUCUGCCAGCACUGUCAGAGGUGGGACAGCAAGAGCUGAGAUUUGUCUCUGCUGGAGACCAGAGGCACUUACAAUCUCCUGAGGCUGGAAAAGAACUUCUGGGACU